rnacentral:tRNA from 1 species
GUGGCUCAGUUGGUUGAGCAUCUGGCUUUGGCUCAGGUCAUGAUCUCACAAUUCGUGGGUUUGAGCCCCACC